rnacentral:rRNA from 1 species
CCCUUAGAUGUUCUGGGCCGCACGCGCGCUACACUGACGGAGUCAACGAGUUGUCCUGCAUCGAAAGGUGUGGGUAAUCUUUUGAAACUUCGUCGUGCUGGGGAUAGAUCUUUGCAAUUUUCGAUCUUGAACGAGGAAUUCCUAGUAAGCGUGAUUCAUCAGAUCGCGUUGAUUACGUCCCUGCCCUUUGUACACACCGCCCGUCGCUACUACCGAUUGAAUGGUUUAGUGAGGCCUCGGGACUGCGCUGACGGGUGCAAACUUGCCAGCGCGGGAACUUGGUCAAACUUGAUCAUUUAGAGGAAGUAAAANUCGUANCA